rnacentral:rRNA from 1 species
UACGUAGGCAGCGAGCGUUGUUCGGAAUUACUGGGCGUAAAGAGUGUGUAGGCGGUGCUCUAAGUUCGGUGUGAAAUCUCCUGGCUCAACUGGGAGGGUGCGCCGGAAACUGGAGUGCUUGAGCGUGGGAGAGGAAAGCGGAAUUCCUGGUGUAGCGGUGAAAUGCUUAGAUAUCAGGAGGAACACCUGUGGUGUAGACGGCUUUCUGGACCAUAGCUGACGCUGAGACACGAAAGCGUGGGUAGCAAACAGG